rnacentral:rRNA from 1 species
GACGAACGCUGGCGGCGUGCUUAACACAUGCAAGUCGAACGGAAAGGCCCUGCCAAUGUGGGGUGCUCGAGUGGCGAACGGGUGAGUAACACGUGUGUAACCUGCCCUUGACUUUGGUAUAACCUCAGGAAACUGGGGCUUAUACCGCAUAGGAGCUCCUGCUGCAUGGUGGGGGUCGGAAAGUCCCCGCGGUUGGGGCGGGACUCGCGGCUUGUAAGCGUGCGGGUGGGGUAGUGGCUUACCAGGGAUUUGACGGAUGGCCGGCCUGAGAGGGUGACCGGCCACAUUGGGAGUGAGAUACGGCCGAGACUCCUGCGGGAGGCAGCAGUGGGGAAUAUUGCACAAUGGGCGGAAGCCUGAGGCCGCAGCGGCGCGUGCGAGAUAAGGGCCUGCGGGUUAAAGCCCGCUUGCGCCUGAGACGGAGGGUGAGUGACGGUAAUGGGUGAAGAAGCACCGGCUAACUACGUG